GCAAGUCGAACGGUAGAGAAUCUUCGGAUUCUUGAGAGUGGCGAACGGGUGAGUAACACGUAGAUGAUCUACCUUUUAGUUGGGGAUAGCCCAUGGAAACAUGGAGUAAUACCGAAUAAUCUCUUUAGGCCUUAGUCUUUAGAGGAAAGAAGCGUUUGCUUCGCUGAAAGAUGAGUCUGCGCACUAUUAGCUAGUUGGUAGGGUAAGAGCCUACCAAGGCGACGAUAGGUAGCCGGCCUGAGAGGGUGACC
rnacentral:rRNA from 1 species